rfam:Capsicum annuum cultivar Zunla-1 chromosome 3, whole genome shotgun sequence
ACCUCAUGAUUUGGGCAUUGCAUUAUUUUAUCAUUGAAUCACUCCCACACCUAAUACAAUGGUUUGCCACUAAUUUGAAAAAUAUUAGUGAUCACAUCCCUUAGUU